UACGUAGGGUGCAAGCGUUAUCCGGAAUUAUUGGGCGUAAAGAGCUCGUAGGCGGUCUGUCGCGUCUGCUGUGAAAUCUGGGGGCUCAACCCCCAGCCUGCAGUGGGUACGGGCAGACUAGAGUGCUGUAGGGGAGACUGGAAUUCCUGGUGUAGCGGUGAAAUGCGCAGAUAUCAGGAGGAACACCGGUGGCGAAGGCGGGUCUCUGGGCAGUAACUGACGCUGAGGAGCGAAAGCGUGGGGGGCGAACAGG
rnacentral:rRNA from 1 species